rnacentral:rRNA from 1 species
UACGAAGGGGGCGAGCGUUGUUCGGAUUUACUGGGCGUAAAGGGCGCGCAGGCGGCGAUUUUUGUCAGGCGUGAAAGCCCCGGGCUCAACCUGGGAACUGCGCUUGAAACGGGAUUGCUAGAGAUCGGGAGAGGAGAGUGGAAUUCCCAGUGUAGAGGUGAAAUUCGUAGAUAUUGGGAAGAACACCGGUGGCGAAGGCGGCUCUCUGGACCGUACCUGACACUGAUGCGCGACAGCAUGGGGAGCAAACAGG